GCUUGUCUCAAAGAUUAAGCCAUGCAUGUCUAAGUAUAAACAAAUCUAUACGUGAAACUGCGAAUGGCUCAUUAUAUCAGUUAUAGUCUACUCGAUAGUACCUUACUACUUGGAUAACCGUAGUAAUUCUAGAGCUAAUACAUGCGCAAAUACCCAACUGCUUGUCGGACGGGUAGCAUUUAUUAGAUUGAAACCAAUGCAGUCUUCGGGCUGGUAUUGUGUUGAGUCAUAAUAACUGUGCGGAUCGCGUUUUACGCGAUAAAUCGAUUGAGUUUCUGCCCUAUCAGCUUUGGAUGGUAGGAUAGAGGCCUACCAUGGUGGUAACGGGUAACGGAGAAUUAGGGUUCGAUUCCGGAGAGGGAGCCUGAGAGACGGCUACCACAUCCAAGGAAGGCAG
rnacentral:rRNA from 1 species